rnacentral:lncRNA from 1 species
CUAAUUUAAGCACAGGCUUUUUCCUCCCUUUAUUUUAAACUUUUGCCAUUGCUGUAGAUCAUUCUGUGAUGUGGCCACAGAGGACACAUUUAUUAUCAGAAGCAAUGGUGGGGGUGGGAAGUGUCUUUUCCUUUCUUUUUUUACAGCAAGUCUAAUAAAUUUGUCAUUUGAAUUAAUUUUAGCUGUCUUAUUGACUUGCGAGGUGCUUCAAGGCUGCUCAGUCACAGAAGUAUUUGAGUGGGACUCCAUCACAAAGAGCACAUAUAGAUGCUUCCAGGCGCUUCUCACCUUUUCUCGUACUUCCACCUUUGGCUCAGUGAAGAGGAGAGAUACUUCCUAGGUCAUUGAGCCUGAAAGCAGGAUGGAUGAUCACCCAUGGUUGUCUUGAACCUCCUGUCUGGCUAUCAACAGCUACCAUUGGACCAGUGGGCAUGCGGUCAGGGGAAUGCGUGCAGGAUGGCUGUGAUUCUGUAGCAAAUCAACAAGUAUUUCCCUGUCUUGGCUGGCACCCAUGAAAAACCAAGAAGGGGUUUAGCCCCCACCGCCCACCAAUGCACCCUUCCAUAUCCCUUUUCCUACAUGUCAGAAGCUUUCUCUUUCUUCAGUGAACGGCCACUGGUUUCUUGGCACCUUGAUGAGUGUACGGGCAGCUGUGAAGUGCAUAGCCUUUGCUGGCUUAAGAGCUCUAGGUGACCUGCCCAAUAGCUCUACAGAUGAUAUACUGAUACAAUUAUUCUUGUGAAAAAUUACUUUCCUUCAAAUAAUGACAGGAGUCCAGUAAUGGGUUGAACUCCUUGUUUGGAGAUGCUUGCUCCCUUCCCCUUCUAGCCACUUCUAAUUUUGAGAAAACUUAAUAAGGUCCAAAGGUUUGACUCCCCACAAAGGAUAUCGUCUUCUUAAAUAUACUGAUGUAGUGUUACAAUAAGAUCUAAGCAAGUAAAAGAGCAAAACUAACUAUUGUUUUUAAGGAGAUUAUUCCCAUUGACUCCUCUUAUGUGAAGCUGCUGCUGAAUGCUGUGGUGAUUAUAUAUUAGACCUACAGCUGGGCAGAACGAAGGCUGGUGGCAGGAGAGAUUCAGAGUGUUUUAGCAGUAGAAGGUGAAAAUACAAGAAUUCAACAAGGCACAUGAAGCCCAGAAGCUUUCCAACUCACUUUGUACCUGAAUAAAAGGCAUACAAAUUGAGGCUGGCUCA